AAACCAACAGGGAUUGCCUCAGUAACGGCGAGUGAAGCGGCAAAAGCUCAAAUUUGAAAUCUAGCACCUUCGGUGUUUGAGUUGUAAUUUGAAGAUGGUAACCUUGGGUUUGGCUCUUGUCUAUGUUCCUUGGAACAGGACGUCAUAGAGGGUGAGAAUCCCGUCUGAUGAGAUGCCCAUUCCUAUGUAAGGUGCUAUCGAAGAGUCGAGUUGUUUGGGAAUGCAGCUCUAAGUGGGUGGUAAAUUCCAUCUAAAGCUAAAUAUUGGCGAGAGACCGAUAGCGAACAAGUACAGUGAUGGAAAGAUGAAAAGAACUUUGAAAAGAGAGUGAAAAAGUACGUGAAAUUGUUGAAAGGGAAGGGCAUUAGAUCAGACUUGGUGUUUUACGAUUAUCUUCUCUUCUUGAGUUGUGCACUCGUAUUUCACUGGGCCAGCAUCGAUUCGGAUGGCAAGAUAAUGGCAGUUGAAUGUGGCUUCACUUCGGUGGAGUGUUAUAGCUUCUGCUGAUAUUGCCUGUCUGGAUCGAGGGCUGCGUCUUUUGACUAGGAUGCUGGCGUAAUGAUCUAAUGCCGC
rnacentral:rRNA from 1 species